rnacentral:rRNA from 1 species
GCCUACGGGAGGCAGCAGUGAGGAAUAUUGGUCAAUGGUCGGGAGACUGAACCAGCCAAGCCGCGUGAGGGAUGAAGGUACAGAGUAUCGUAAACCUCUUUUGUCAGGGAACAAAGGCGGAGACGCGUCUCCGGAUGAGUGUACCCGAAGAAAAAGCAUCGGCUAACUCCGUGCCAGCAGCCGCGGUAAUACGGAGGAUGCGAGCGUUAUCCGGAUUUAUUGGGUUUAAAGGGUGCGCAGGCGGGAGAUCAAGUCAGCGGUAAAAUGUCGGGGCUCAACCCCGGCCGGGCGUUGAAACUGGUGUU